rnacentral:tRNA from 1 species
CGGCGUGUAGCGCAGCCUGGUAGCGCACCUGUCUCGGGGUCAGGGGGUCGGGGGUUCGAAUCCCUCCACGCCGACCA